UACAGAGGGUGCGAGCGUUAAUCGGAAUUACUGGGCGUAAAGCGCACGUAGGCGGCUUGGUAUGUCGGGUGUGAAAUCCCCGGGCUCAACCUGGGAACUGCAUCCGAAACUGCCUUGCUAGAGUAUGGGAGAGGGAAGUGGAAUUUCCGGUGUAGCGGUGAAAUGCGUAGAUAUCGGAAGGAACAUCAGUGGCGAAGGCGACUUCCUGGACCAAUACUGACGCUCAGGUGCGAAAGCGUGGGGAGCGAUCCGG
rnacentral:rRNA from 1 species